rnacentral:rRNA from 1 species
AACGUUCCAGAGAGGGAUUAGUGCUGUCGGAGACCCAGAGACAGGUGCUGCAUGGCUGUCGUCAGAUCGUUUUUGGAAUUGUUGGGUUAAGUCCCGCAACGAGCGCAACCCUUAUCCGUGUUUGCCAGCGAGUAAUGUCGGGAACUCCAGGUAGACUGCCGGUGAUAAACCGGAGGAAGGUGGGGACGACGUCAAGUCAUCAUGGCCCUUACGAGUAGGGCUACGCACGUGCUACAAUGGCGCAUACAGAGGGCAGAGAUCUUGCGAAAGUGAGCGAAACCCAAAAAGUGCGUCGUAGUCCGGAUUGGAGUCUGCAACUCGACUCCAUGAAGUCGGAAUCGCUAAUAGUCGUGGAUCAGAAUGCCACGGUGAAUACGUUCCCGGGCCUUGCAC